UACGGAGGGUGCAAGCGUUAUCCGGAUUCACUGGGUUUAAAGGGCGCGUAGGUGGCGACCCAAGUCGAUGGUGAAAGCUCGCCGCUCAACGGCGAGUCGGCCACCGAUACUGGGUUGCUGGAGCACUGUAGAGGCAGAUGGAAUUCCGGGUGUAGCGGUGGAAUGCGUAGAGAUCCGGAAGAACACCGGUGGCGAAGGCGGUCUGCUGGGCAGUUGCUGACACUGAGGCGCGACAGCGUGGGGAGCAAACAGG
rnacentral:rRNA from 1 species